AUAAGUAAUGUGAAUUGCAGAAUUCAGUGAAUCAUCGAAUCUUUGAACGCACCUUGCGCUCUUUGGUAUUCCGAAGAGCAUGCCUGUUUGAGUGUCAUUAAAUUCUCAACCUACACUUGGUUUUACGACCGAGCUUGUAUGGAUUGGAUUUGGGAGCUGCUGGAAACUUAACAGUGUUCAGCUCUUCUUAAAAGUAUUAGCGGUGACUCUGGCGACCGUUACUUGGUGUGAUAAUUAUCUACGCCUUGUCUAAUGGGAGCCAUAAUAAUGGUCGCAGCUUCUAACUGUCUGUUAACUCAGACUGUUUGCUUGCAAACACUUUUUAAUCUUGACCUCAAAUCAGGUAGGACUACCCGCUGAACUUAAGCAUAUCAAUAAGCGGAGGAAAAGAAACUAACAAGGAUUCCCCUAGUAACUGCGAGUGAAGCGGGAAGAGCUCAAAUUUAAAAUCUGGCAGCCUCCGGUUGUCCGAGUUGUAAUUUAGAGAAGUAUUACCCGCGCUGGACCGUGUACAAGUCUCCUGGAAAGGAGCAUCAUAGAGGGUGAUAAUCCCGUCUUUGACACGGACUCCCAGGGCUUUGUGGUAUGCUCUCGAAGAGUCGAGUUGUUUGGGAAUGCAGCUCAAAAUGGGUGGUAAAUUCCAUCUAAAGCUAAAUAUAGGCGAGAGACCGAUAGCGAACAAGUACCGUGAGGGAAAGAUGAAAAGAACUUUGGAAAGAGAGUUAAACAGUACGUGAAAUUGCUGAAAGGGAAACGCUUGAAGUCAGUCGCGUCGGCUUGGAAUCAACCYUGCUCUUGCUUGGUGUACUUCCCAGCAGACGGGCCAACAUCAGUUUUGACCGCUUGAGAAAGGUUGAGGGAAUGUGGCAUCUUCGGAUGUGUUAUAGCCCUUAGUCAUAUACAGUGGUUGGGACUGAGGAACUCAGCACGCCGCAAGGCAGGGCUUCGGCCACUUACGUGCUUAGGAUGUUGGCAUAAUGGCUUUAAUCGACCNGUCUUGAAACACGGACCAAGGAGUCUAACAUACCUGCGAGUAUUUGGGUGGUAAACUCGGAUGCGCAAUGAAAGUGAAAGUUGAGAUCCUUGUCAUGGGGAGCAUCGACGCCCAUGCCUGAUCCACGGUGACGGCUAUGCGGUAGAGCAUGUAUGUUGGGACCCGAAAGAUGGUGAACUAUGCCUGAAUAGGGCGAAGCCAGAGGAAACUCUGGUGGAGGCUCGUAGCGAUUCUGACGUGCAAAUCGAUCGUCGAAUUUGGGUAUAGGGCGAAAGACUAAUCGACCAUCUAGUAGCU
rnacentral:rRNA from 1 species